GGAGAGAUGGCCGAGUGGUUUAAGGCGCACGCCUGGAACGCGUGUUGGGCGGAAACGCUCUCCGGGGUUCGAAUCCCCGUCUCUCCGCCA
rnacentral:tRNA from 1 species